rnacentral:tRNA from 1 species
GAGGAUGUAACUCCGUGGUAAAGUACUUGCCUAACAUGUUCAAGGACCUAGGUUCAAUUCCUAGUACCCACC